GAUGAAGAACGUAGCGAAAUGCGAUAAGUAAUGUGAAUUGCAGAAUUCAGUGAAUCAUCGAAUCUUUGAACGCACAUUGCGCCCGCCAGUAUUCUGGCGGGCAUGCCUGUUCGAGCGUCAUUUCAACCAUCAAGCCCCAGGCUUGUGUUGGAGCCCUGCGGCUGCCACAGCCUCCCAAAACCAGUGGCGGGCUCGCUAUCACACCGAGUGCAGUAGUUUACUCUUCGCUCAGGGCGUGUGGCGGGUGCUAGCCGUAAAACCCCCAACUUCUCAAGGUUGACCUCGGAUCAGGUAGGAAUACCCGCUGAACUUAAGCAUAUCAAUAAGCGGAGGA
rnacentral:misc_RNA from 1 species